rnacentral:rRNA from 1 species
UAACGAAUAUUGGGCAAUGGGCGAAAGCCUGACCCAGCAAUGCCGCGUGCAGGACGAAGUCCUUCGGGAUGUAAACUGCUGUCAGGGGUCCGCAAGCGAAGGGGUCCAACAGGCCCUGGAGUUGAGCAGCCCCAGAGGAAGCCUCGACUAACUCUGUGCCAGCAGUCGCGGUAAGACAGAGGAGGCAAGCGUUGUUCGGAAUCACUGGGCUUAAAGCGCGGGUAGGCGGCUGAGAAAGUGGCGUGUGAAAUCCCGCGGCUCAAC